rnacentral:rRNA from 1 species
CCUAAGUGGGCGGGGGAUAAUCUCGGGGAACUGAGAAUAAUGCCCGAUAGAACAUUAUGCCUGGAAUGGUUUAUGUUUCAAAUGAUUUAUCGCCAUAGGAUGGGACUGCGGCCUAUCAGUUUGUUGGUGAGGUAAUGGCCCACCAAGACUAUUACAGGUACGGGCUCUGAGAGGAGUGGCCCGGAGAUGGGUACUGAGACACGGACCCAGGCCCUAUGGGGCGCAGCAGGCGAGAAAACUUUGCAAUGUGCGAAAGCACGACAAGGUUAAUCCGAGUGGUUUCUGCUAAAGAAACCUUUUGCCAGUCCUAGAAACACUGGUGAAUAAGGGGUGGGCAAGUUCUGGUGUCAGCCGCCGCGGUAAAACCAGCACCUCAAGUGGUCAGGAUGAUUAUUGGGCCUAAAGCAUCCGUAGCUCGUUUUGUAAGUUUUCGGUUAAAUCCAUGCGCUUAACGUAUGGGCUGCCGGGAAUACUGCAUAACUAGGAAGUGGGAGAGGUAGACGGUACUCGGUAGGAAGGGGUAAAAUCCUUUGAUCUAUUGAUGACCACCUGUGGCGAAGGCGGUCUACCAGAACACGUUCGACGGUGAGGGAUGAAAGCUGGGGGAGCAAACCGGAUUAGAUACCCGGGUAGUCCCAGCUGUAAACUAUGCAAACUCAGUGAUGCAUUGGCUUGUGGCCAAUGCAGUGCUGCAGGGAAGCCGUUAAGUUUGCCGCCUGGGAAGUACGUACGCAAGUAUGAAACUUAAAGGAAUUGGCGGGGGAGCAC